GGAGAGGUGUCCGAGCGGCUUAAGGAGCAUGAUUGGAAAUCAUGUGUGCGGUAAUACCGUACCGAGGGUUCAAAUCCCUCUCUCUCCGCCA
rnacentral:tRNA from 1 species